rnacentral:rRNA from 1 species
UAGGGAAUCUUCGGCAAUGGGGGCAACCCUGACCGAGCAACGCCGCGUGAGUGAAGAAGGUUUUCGGAUCGUAAAGCUCUGUUGUAAGAGAAGAACGAGUGUGAGAGUGGAAAGUUCACACUGUGACGGUAACUUACCAGAAAGGGACGGCUAACUACGUGCCAGCAGCCGCGGUAAUACGUAGGUCCCGAGCGUUAUCUGGAUUUAUUGGGCGUAAAGCGAGCGCAGGCGGUUAGAUAAGUCUGAAGUUAAAGGCUGUGGCUUAACCAUAGUACGCUUUGGAAACUGUUUAACUUGAGUGCAGAAGGGGAGAGUGGAAUUCCAUGUGUAGCGGUGAAAUGCGUAGAUAUAUGGAGGAACACCGGUGGCGAAAGCGGCUCUCUGGUCUGUAACUGACGCUGAGGCUCGAAAGCGUGGGGAGCAAACAGGAUUAGAUACCCUGGUAGUCCACGCCGUAACGAUGAGUGCUAGGUGUUGGGUCCUUUCCGGGACUCAGUGCCGCAGCUAACGCAUUAAGCACUCCGCCUGGGGAGUACGACCGCAAGGUU